UAUCGUCCCUCGCCCCGCCCACUCAAUAUAAGCCAUUCUGUCGGCUAUAAAUCAAUACGAAGGAGGGUACACUUACAUACUUCAGUUUAUUUGGUUGGGGUUUAAGGCUUCUGAAUCAACAUGUUGGGAUCAAGUUUGUUUCAUAAAUAAAACCGAUUUUCAGAUUUUUUACUUCCAUUUAAAAAAUGCAGAUUUUGUGAUUGAAGCAAACUAAAUCCAAAUCUUAAUCAAAUCAGCUUCCAAGAUAAUAAAUAUCUGAACAAAUAUGUCCUAACUGUUACAAAAGAGCAUUUAGUUCCGACGAAAAAGAAAAUAAUGUUUUCCAUGUUUUCUUGACACAAUAAACAAGGUAUUUAUAUUCUUUUUAAUAAGAAAAUCGACUGGAGGUUACUAACAACACGCCUCUUCCCAGCCCCAUUUUAUUGUAGAAUGAUUGUUCAUCCCCAGUACAAGGUUGGAAGUCAUUAUUUCUCUUUUUGCAAAUAGAUUACAUCAUCUAACAUACUCAAUUUUUUUUUAAGACAGCAGUAUGUGAUUUGGGAUAUUGAUAGCUUUUUGUAAUAAAUCGAGGGCCCACAUAGAAAAUCUUUCCUUGACAAGAGUAUUUUCCAGUUAUCUUUGAAGACCUAUUGUUAUGACCUUGUUAGUUACUGUGCAUACACGAUUAUCUCCCUUGGUGAGACCAUGUUUCUUUUUAAAAUGUGACUUACGCACUUCAGUUCGUAUUGAGAAAAGUAUAUAUUGUAGAAAAUUAACAGCCUACAUUUAUUAACACAUAUGGUAUGUCAAGAUGAAUUGCGUACUAAGAGCUUCAUUGAACUUUCAUAGAAACUUUUCAUCUAUAUUCAAUGGAAUCACUCAAAAGACUAUUAUAUCAGGAAAUUCUAACCAAACAAUUCUUCGAGCCUUAAGUACCAAGUCAACAUGCAGCCAGUCUUUUUCUACAAAGAAUUUUAAUGUUGGUAGUGGACCUUUAAUUUCAAAAUCACCAUCCUGUCUUUUGUCUAAUAAUUCAAGUUUGUUUUCCAUUCUGCCAACUACUGGAUUCCCUUGGCAGCAAAAACGUACUUACAAAAUGAAGCUGUAUCCAAAACUCAGGUGCAAAGGAUGUUAUUUUGUUUAUAGGCAUCGUCGUCUGUUUGUUGAGUGUAACUUAAAACCUCGUCAUAAACAGAUGGAAUUUAAAACUAAAGGAGAGUUAUGGAAGGAAGAUUAUUCAAAAGGAGGUGUAAAAACGGCAGCAUUUUGGAAAUGGUCUAAAGAAGCUUGGUAUAAGUUUGGCAAUAAUAAAUAUUCUCGCUUUGAUUGGCUACAAGGAAAAUAUGACUGAGCAAAAAAUAUUUGGAAAUUUUACGAUUUUUAAUUAUUUCGAAAUUAAAUAAAACUUUGUUUCUAUU